UGUGCCCUUGCAUUGGAUGGGGACCACCCCCAAUUGGGUUGUGUAAGGAUUCCUGCUCCCGUGACUGCGACUGUCCCGACAACCACAAAUGCUGUUCUACCAGCUGUGGGCAUCAAUGCAUCGCCCCCUACAAAGAGAAGCCAGGAGUGUGCCCUUGCAUUGGAUGGGGACCACGGCCAAUUGGGUUGUGUAAGGAUUCCUGCUCCCGUGACUGCGACUGUCCCAACAACGAUAAAUGCUGUUCUAGCCGCUGUGGGCGUCAAUGCAUCGCCCCCUACACAGAGAAGCCAGGAGUGUGCCCUUGCUUAAAUUGGGGACCACGGCCAAUUGGGUUGUGUAAGGAUUCCUGCUCCCGUGACUGCGACUGUCCCGACAACCACAAAUGCUGUUCUACCAGCUGUGGGCAUCAAUGCAUCGCCCCCU